UGAUAAAAAUUCCUCUGUUUGUAUUAAUGAAGGUUUCAGUUUGCUCUGAUUUGUGAAUUUACUGUAUUAAAUUGAAUUUUAAAGUUCUAAGGUUGAUUUAAAAGUAUCCAUUUAUAACAUUUCAAAGAACAAAAGAACUUUUAUUUACAGCUUCCUUAUCUCUUUUGGUGCUGGGAGACUCCCCUUACAGCUUCACAGGGUGGAGAGAUGUACAGGCCCUGCCCCUGCCUGUGACAUCAUAGUCCAACGUGGAACUAAGGCUGAAGUUACUAUUAACUCUUUAUAGACUCCGUUAACCAUUUGUUUAACUUACUGUUUUCAGUUAUUAGGAUCCUCAUAGAGGACAUAACCUGGACUUUCCCUUCCUCUCUCAUCCUGAUCCUAAUAGCAUCUGUAACUGGAUUAAAAAUAUUUUCUUUCAGGAGGCCAUCCAGGCUUUCAGCUCACAAGAAAUCUCCCCCUGCGAGAGGAGAGAGGGACCCCCCAGAAGGGGCUGGAGGCUCUCCCUCUCAACAGGUUUUGCCUCUCCUGAAACAACGCUCCAUGUGUAACCUGUCCCUCCCCGAGCCGGACUGCAGGAUGAUUUUUCCUUCAACACACUGGUCCCGCCCACUGGCCUAUGGCAGAAGCCAGAAAAAGCGACGAUAAGAAAGGGAGGCCCCAUCAGGGGACUUAGAGGCAGUGUUUCUGUUAUCUGCUUAGAUCCCAAGAAUGGUCAGGAAGAAACUGAAAGCUGGAAUUCAUAACCAUUCCCUUACUCAAGUCCUUACAGGCUCUGCAGUAUACCCAGAGAGCCACCCAUAAGCUUGUUCGUGAUGCUCUGCCAGUGCCCACUGCGGACCCUGUACAUCCCUUCCAGCCCA